rnacentral:rRNA from 1 species
AACGAACGCUGGCGGCGUGGAUAAGACAUGCAAGUCGAACGGGACAACAUCUGUAGCAAUACAGAUGUUGUUUAGUGGCGAACGGGUGCGUAACACGUGGGCAAUCUGCCGAAAAGUGGGGGAUAGCUCGCCGAAAGGCGAAUUAAUACCGCAUAUGGUCAGGGAAGACAUCUUCCUGAAUCCAAAGCCGGGGUAACCUGGCGCUUUUUGAGGAGCCCGCGGCCUAUCAGCAGUUGGCGAGGUAACGGCUCACCAAGGCUAUGACGGGUAGCUGGUCUGAGAGGACGACCAGUCACACUGGAACUGAGACACGGUCCAGACACCUACGGGUGGCAGCAGU